CGCUAUGCAUGCAGUCGAACGGGCGAAGGGGCUUCGGCCCCCUAGCUAGUGGCAGACGGCUGAGUAAUACGUAAGUGAUCUACCCCGGAGAGGGGGAUAAGCCGAAGAAAUCCGGUCUAAUACCCCGUACGCUCCCUCUAUUACGGUAGAGAGAGGAAAGUUCCGGCGCUCUGGGAGGAGCUUGCGGCCUAUCAUGGUAGUUGGUGGGGUAAAAGCCUACCAAGCCGAAGACGGGUAACCGGUGUGAGAGCACGAUCGGUCAGAGGGGGACUGAGACACGGCCCCCACUCCUACGGGAGGCAGCAGCAGGGAAUCUUGCGCAAUGGGCGAAAGCCUGACGCAGCGACACCGCGUGGGGGAUGAAGGCUCUCGAGUUGUAAACCCCUUUUCUCGGGGAAGAGACAGGACGGUACCCGAGGAAUAAGGUUCGGCUAACUACGUGCCAGCAGCCGCGGUAAUACGUAGGAACCGAGCGUUGUCCGGAUUUACUGGGCGUAAAGUGCGCGUAGGCGGUUCGUUAAGUCUCAUGUGAAAUCUCCCGGCUCAACUGGGAGGGGUCAUGGGAUACUGGCAGACUUGAGUACAGCAGAGGGGAGUGGAAUUCCCGGAGUAGUGGUGGAAUGCGUAGAUACCGGGAGGAACACCAGAGGCGAAGGCGACUNNNUGGGCUGUGUCUGACGCUGAGGCGCGAAAGCGUGGGUAGCAAACCGGAUUAGAUACCCGGGUAGUCCACGCCCUAAACGAUGGAUACUAGGUAUGGGGGGUAUCGACCCCCUCCGUGCCGCAGCUAACGCAUUAAGUAUCCCGCCUGAGGAGUACGGCCGCAAGGCUAAAACUCAAAGGAAUUGACGGGGACCCGCACAAGCAGCGGAUCGUGUGGUUUAAUU
rnacentral:rRNA from 1 species